rnacentral:ncRNA from 2 species
AAGAGUCUUCAGGGCAGGGUGUGAGUCCCGACCGGCGGUGAAUUCUGACUAGGAAAUGAUAUUUUCCUUUUAUACUUUGUUGACGAGCUUUGCCUAACUCCAGUUAUGCCUUCAGCUUGUCGCCUCGUCUAAAAGAAAAAUCUCUAUUUCCUAGUGCUGAAACAAGUCCGCGAGCGCAAGCUGAUGUGGUGAGAUUCCACAACCGACAGUAUAGUCUGGAUGGGAGAAGACAGAG